rnacentral:hammerhead_ribozyme from 1 species
AUCCAGCUGACGAGUCCCGAGUAGGGUGAAACACGCGUUCUGGAU